GCUCACCAAACUGUCUGCUUGGCCUCUAGGUUCUCUCAGCAUUGCAAGAACCUGUUACAGAGUCCUGACUCCUCGAGGCACUUCUCACCAUAUCCCCUGCUUUAAAUCUCUCCAACCAUGUCCUGGAGUGGUCGUGCCAUCAUUUUCUUUUGGACGGCGCUUUCCACGGCUUCUCACCUUUGAUCACACAGUACAUCUCUGCCGCUGGAUUCCAACAAAGCUGAGUCGAAACGACUUCCUGAACCCCCUUUGUGCCAGAUGAACCUGGAGUUCUUGGCUCACUGAGAUUCCCACCAGAAGGAGUUUUGGUGAUUUGGGGGGAAGGAAAGUAAAAUAAAUUGGCAGUGCCACAUACUUGGCAGCACUUCAUAUGUAUGGCAACUGAGGGAGUCCAUGUUUUAG
rnacentral:lncRNA from 1 species